ACGCUGGCGGCUCUGCAGGGGGCGAUGGCUUCUGCACAGUGCCCUCUCUUCUCCACCCGAGGCUCUGGCCUGGCCGCGGCGCCGAACAGAAUGUCCCCGCGGUCCCUGAAGCUGAACUACAAAAAUCAAGACCAUGACUGGACAAACUUGUCAAGAAGAGGAAAAAGAAGAAGAAAAGAUGGGUUACCUGUUUCACAUACACUGUUUCAUCUGCUUCUCAAAGCUCUGGUUUAGUCAUAAAUAUUCGAUCAUCCAGCCAGGGCUCCUUCAGAGGUUAAAGGAGAGUUAUCAAUUGACUUCAGCUCCUGUGCAACACCAGCCAAGGGUCCACCAGCUUCAGACAUUGGGCAAAGGAAGCCUUGGCAGUCAGGUGAGUAAAGCCGUGGUAGCCAAGAUGCAUUCUGGUUUUAGAUCUAGCC